rnacentral:rRNA from 1 species
AUUGAACGCUGGCGGCAUGCCUUACACAUGCAAGUCGAACGGCAGCACAGGUGCUUGCACCUGGUGGCGAGUGGCGAACGGGUGAGUAAUACAUCGGAACAUGUCCUGUAGUGGGGGAUAGCCCGGCGAAAGCCGGAUUAAUACCGCAUACGAUCCACGGAUGAAAGCGGGGGACCUUCGGGCCUCGCGCUAUAGGGUUGGCCGAUGGCUGAUUAGCUAGUUGGUGGGGUAAAGGCCUACCAAGGCGACGAUCAGUAGCUGGUCUGAGAGGACGACCAGCCACACUGGGACUGAGACACGGCCCAGACUCCUACGGGAGGCAGCAGUGGGGAAUUUUGGACAAUGGGCGAAAGCCUGAUCCAGCAAUGCCGCGUGUGUGAAGAAGGACUUCGGGUUGUAAAGCACUUUUGUCCGGAAAGAAAUCCUUGACUCUAAUACAGUCGGGGGAUGACGGUACCGGAAGAAUAAGCACCGGCUAACUACGUG